rnacentral:rRNA from 1 species
CUACGGGCCGCUGCAGUGGGGAAUAUUGCACAAUGGGCGCAAGCCUGAUGCAGCCAUGCCGCGUGUAUGAAGAAGGCCUUCGGGUUGUAAAGUACUUUCAGCGGGGAGGAAGGGAGUAAAGUUAAUACCUUUGCUCAUUGACGUUACCCGCAGAAGAAGCACCGGCUAACUCCGUGCCAGCAGCCGCGGUAAUACGGAGGGUGCAAGCGUUAAUCGGAAUUACUGGGCGUAAAGCGCACGCAGGCGGUUUGUUAAGUCAGAUGUGAAAUCCCCGGGCUCAACCUGGGAACUGCAUCUGAUACUGGCAAGCUUGAGUCUCGUAGAGGGGGGUAGAAUUCCAGGUGUAGCGGUGAAAUGCGUAGAGAUCUGGAGGAAUACCGGUGGCGAAGGCGGCCCCCUGGACGAAGACUGACGCUCGGGUGCGAAAGCGUGGGGAGCAAACAGGAUUAGAUACCCCCGUAGUC